rnacentral:rRNA from 1 species
UACGUAGGGACCAAGCGUUGUUCGGAUUUACUGGGCGUAAAGGGCGCGUAGGCGGUCAGCACAAGUCAGUUGUGAAAUCUCCGGGCUUAACUCGGAAAGGUCAACUGAUACUGUGCGACUAGAGUGCGGAAGGGGCAACUGGAAUUCUCGGUGUAGCGGUGAAAUGCGUAGAUAUCGAGAGGAACACCUGCGGCGAAGGCGGGUUGCUGGGCUGACACUGACGCUGAGGCGCGAAAGCUAGGGGAGCGAACGGG